rnacentral:lncRNA from 1 species
UCUUGUACUUGUGUACGGUAUAUUGUGUUAGUCGGGUCCUUUGCAGGGAGGAAGAAUGUUAGUUUAGGCGCGCCUUCCCCUGACUGGGAGCGCCCUGAGGUAAAUACUCUUCCUGACACUUGUAUACGAUAUGUUGUAUUGGUUGUAUCCCUUGCAGGGAAAAAGUAUGUUAGAAGGUGCACCUCCUUCUAACAUGGCACACCUUAGGCACAGACACGCUCCACUUCAAUCUCAUAGAUGCUCAAGUCAACCAAAUAACUCGACAAC